rnacentral:rRNA from 1 species
UGUAAAUGUAAAGUUAUUGCUAAAUUAGUAUUAGUUAUUUUCUUGAAAAUUAAAGAAUUUGGCGGUAUUUUAGUCCAUUCAGAGGAACCUGUCCUAUAAUUGAUAUUCCACAAUUUAUUUUACUUAUUUUAAUUAAUUUAUAUAUCGUCGUAGGUAGAAUAUUUUUAAAAAAAUAAAAUAUUCAAAAUUUAUAAUUUUAAAAAAAAUCAGAUCAAGGUGUAGUUUAUAAAUAAGAAGAGAUGGGUUACAAUAAAUUUAUUUAAAUGGAUAAAAUUUUGAAAAUGUUUUUGAAAGUGGAUUUGAAAGUAAUUUAAAUUAAUUUAUUUAAAUGAUUUUGGCUCUAAAAUAUGU